GACGAGAACGGGCUCUCCUCUCUCUCCCUCGCCUCCGGAUCCCAGAGGCGCCCCACCCCGCGAUGCUCGAUCUGGUGCCGCGCCGAUCUGGCGGCGGAUGCGGCGUCUUGCUCCAUUUGCGAUGGCGUCCUGCUGAUCAAGAGAAAGAGAGAGACAGGGCGUGAGGGAGAGAGGAAAGAGAGGAAGAAAGGAGAAGGAGAAGGGGCACAAGGUGAGGGAGGCGGUCGCCGGCGGUGGCGGCUCCAGCGGGCGGGCAGGGAGACGAGCUCCUGUUGUGGCGGCGGGGAUCGGUGCGGGCUGGUUCCUCCGGAUCGAGCCUUGGCUCUCCCGAGGCGUGCGGCUGCCGGCUCGGUGAUCCUUCUCCCCCGCCCUCCCACUCCAUGGCCAACGACACGAUGUGCGGCGACCUAUUCCGCUCCCCGCCAUGGCUCCUCUCUCUCCCCCCACCAGCGCCCUCCUCACCCCUUCCCCACUCCCAACUGAUUCCCAAGGCUGCACCCUCACUCUGUCGUUAGAUCUGGUCUGGACCGAGCUCCUCCGAUGUCCCUGCUAGAGCUGAGCGAGGACGAGGAGACCACCACCUGCUCUAGCUGCGCAAGGCCACGCAGAGAGGCCAACCUCAUCCUCCAUCAAGGUUGCAGAGCUCCCUCUCCUCCGCCUGAUUUCCCUUUUUUGGGUUUUCAGCAGCUUGCUUCGUUCUUUGAUGGCACAUUGCUGUCCUGUUUAUCUGAUCCAACUGUAGUAUUUUGCUUUUUCAGACCAGAUACAAUUUACUCAAGGGUAGAGUAGCUUUGGUUAUGUGCACUGUUUGGUAGAGGCCUGGGUUGUUCUCUUCCAUCCAUUACUAAAAGUACUGCAUAUUAAUUUUUUUGACCUUUUUCUUCUAACUGCCUUCUUGUAUUGCUGAUACCAUAAAGGGCUGCAACUUUAGUAGAUCUCUCCUAUAUUCGUCCACUCUUAUGUGCCUUUGUGGAUUCUGAAUUUUAAAUCCUUUUACGGUUCUACUUACGCCCUUUUAUAUUUCCAGCUAUUGGAGGCGAGUACAUGUCGGUCACGGAUGCUGGUUAUCUAUCAGUUUUGUUCGAUGUAGGAGAAAUCAUUGGUGGAAUUCUUGCUGGGUUCAUGUCUGAUCAGCUCGAUGCUAGGGCCACUACUGCAUGUAUCUGGCAAUUCCAUCUCUUUAUGCCUUUCGUGCAUAUGGCUGUACUUCAAAAGUGCAUAUACUAAAAUUAGUGAAGGAUAUCCAACGCAUCAAACAUGGUUUUUUAUUUGUAAAAAUACUAGCCCGUGCAGGUGCACGGGUUGACGACAUCUACAGCCACGACCCCUCCGUCGUCCUCGUCACCUGGCACCUUGAGUGGAAGGGGCUGCCGUUCCAGUUCAGCAGGGUCUGGACCCUCUACCGCAGUGAGCUCGGCCCGCAUCGGCAACAGCGGAUUCAGAUUUUAUGGUGGCCUGUGAGGAGGAUUUCAGGGGAGAUCGUCUGUGAAUAUAACAAGAGGCUGAGAUUUGACCUGCACUGCAUGCGAAAAGCAGGUUCAGGAGCUCCAAGCUAACAAUUGCCAGAGCUUUGAAAAGAUAUUUUUACAAUUAAAGUGAAGAUGCUGUGAUGGUGUCAUUUUUUUGAAACGUCAAAGAGGAAUUUCAGGAAGGCACCCCUUUCUUCUUCAGAGGCCAGAGUAUUUGGGAAGCAGUCAUUAGGGAACUUUUAUCGAAAGGCCUAUCACAUGCUAAAGAAGUAGCCUUCCUACAAAAAAAGAUCAGUUGUACAGGUCACACCUAGAGCUAGCGCCACCACCGCAAAAGAAAUGAAGAAAUAGAUUAGUAACUUCACACCAACCAAGCACUAGAUAGGUAGUUGAUUCUUUAGAAGUGUUUGGAGCAACCAAAAUUCAAGUGAGAACACGAUACUUCACUGGUGUGUCCAUACAUAUGUCUAUAUAUACGGUGAAACUCUCAAGUGAGUAUGAAUCAAAUGAAUGAUGCCCCAAGAGCUCAGGUGCAUUUCAAAAUGUUCUAUUCCUCCCACAUUCAGCCAACUGGAGUACCCUGCUCUCCCUUCUAGAGGUUCUACAGUUCAAUCCCUAUUUUACGAAUCAGGUGCUUGCAUUCUAUUGUAUCAAGAUGUGUAAAUAGUUAGUAAGUUGUCUAGCUCACGAAAGUCUACAUGGAAUGAGUUCUGUAGUUCUCAUAUAUUUUUUACUAAAGGAAAAAUGAAUUUACUUGGACAAGGGUGGAUGAAAUAUCAAUUGGGAUUAGUAUGGUGUAUUUUUACUUGGUGUGUCCAUGCGUAUGUUUGUUACUGAUCAUACCUAUAUAUAUCUUCUAGAACUGAUGGUGAGUUGUAUGUUACUCUGUGUUGUGUACAAUGGAUUCUUCCUUGCCUAUUUUCCCUGUCAUGACAAGGCUUCCAUAGCGUAUCUCCCAUAGCAACGGACGGGCGAAGGAGGCGGUUGUCACCGACGGCGGGGCCAGAUGUGUCGGACGCGCGCCACUCGCCUGCAGUCAACGCAGACAUACAUAGCGACCGUCCAUGGCGGCGAGCGGCUCCGGGGGGUGGCGACGGGGUUGGGUGGUUCAAGCGGCCACUUCUGCAGCUACAUGGGAUUUCUUCAGGACCAUCAGCAGGUACGGGAUUUCUUCAGGACGAUGACUCAGACCAUAUCUGCAUGCAGAGAACACAUAUGAACUACUCCUGAGAUUGUGACUGAGCUACAUGGUAAUUUACUGUUAAAUUAUAAUGUUGGGGGAUUGUGCAAUGCGACUGAAUGAAAACUGGCAGUGAAUGGAUAUUUACCUUAUAAAGGAUGCUGGGGUGCUAGUCGCAACUGCUGGCUCCACGUCCUCUAUGAAUAGUGUCGCAUGAAAAAAAAUAGCAAGCAGCGAGAUAAGAAGGGCCGAAGGGAGCGGGCAGCGAGAGAGACCUAGCCCGCGUCUCCCCCACGACCCUUGUUCCUCUUGCCGCCGCCGCCACCGCUGCCCACGAUGGAGCCUACGCCCACCCCUCUCUCGCUCGAUUCCUCACCUCUCCUCGCUCGAUUCCUCGUCUCUCCUCGCUCAAGUCCUCUCUCUCUCCCUUUCCUGACACCACCGCCCUCCCGUCCAGUGAGGGGUCCGUAGACGUCGUCUUUCUGGACGCCGACUUCGCCCAGCCGGCUGGACGCUGCCUCGGCGACGAGGGCCCCGUAGAUGUCGCCAACUUUGCCCAGCAGGCCUUCCACCAUGUCGUCUCCUUCGGCGCUAUGAGCCAGGGGCGUGUUUCCGGUUCAAGGUGUCAUGGAUAGCCAACAGGAUGGGGGACCAGGGCGGUGACGUCAAGCUCCUACUGUGGAGUCCUAGGGCUGUACGCCAGCAACAAUAUUUCUCCUCCCCUCAACCCCCACGAACUAUCUAUUCUGUUUCUACAAUUUCAAUGGCUUAGUUUCAUGUGUCAGAUCGUUGUUGCCCAAUUUAUACCAGUCUGAUUACAGUAGACCAUCUAUGCAGUACGGCACCUAUAGGCUUUCCAAUUCUGGUCUUCCUACUAUAAUUAUAUUUGAUGUAAUGUAUGAGAGGCAUUAUUUAAGAAGAUCAACACGCGUCAAGUUUGGUAAUUACCUGCGGUCACCUAUGCCAAACAUAAUUAAAUUUACUGCUUGCUAAAUCCAUCAAUGGCAGUUCUUUACCAUUAGUUUGUUUCAUAAUUUGAACUAUUCCCCAUGAAACGAUGCCCAUUAUACAAAUGCAAUUCCCACACCACAUAAACCAUGUGGUGUGCUCUUUUUGUAUUCAUUGGUUGGGACAGCUGCGGGGCUGACGGCGGCAUUCGGGGUUUGAGAUGGCACAAGAUGAAGAGCUCCUUUUGCCAUUCUCUCUGCAAAGAUAUAUGCUAGAUUAGUUGAUCCAGGGCUGAAGUUGUAUACCAAAAUAAUGCUGAGAAAUUUAAAGGUGAAAAUUAGCAAGCAAGCUACAGUCGGUGCAUGGAUGACCAACUUUACUUGUUACUUUAUGAAGAUGAUGAUUCCUAAAUAGAAUUACGAGCUAGGUCCUGCAUGUUGAUCGUGCUUCAAGGGUAGAAGAGGAUGGGAGGAGGGGGCGCGUGCUCCAUAUUUUGUUAUGCACACCUUCCUAAACUAUACUUUUCUUCUUAACAUAUGUUCAUUGUCCAGUAGAAGCUGUAGAUUUCAGCGUACAAUAAUUUCCAAAAUGGUAGAAGGAUGCUUGGUCAAGAAUGCAGGGUGAGCAAAAGAAAACUAUGAACGCUUUUAUCUCUCUGGCCAUCUAGAGCAUAUGGAGGGAGCAAGAUAGCGGGCUCUGUGUCUUCACACCGCCCCAGAGGGGGUGCCACUGAGGGCUUUCUCAUGGAAUGCGGUGCAAUGUGUUUUUAUGCACGCCUAUGAGCAGGCUACCCUGCACGCUGAUCUUCUACUACUUUCCCAGGCCUAUUACUUCCCCCUGAGAUGCUUCCAAGGGUUCUAUUCGGCUCCAUUGUAUUUUUCUUUCUUUUUUGAUUGCUUUUUCUUCUCUGUUUCUUUUUUUAUAUGCAAGGCCAUAAAUGUUUACCAUGCAUCCUUGCUCACACAGAAAAUUACUUCAAUAUACACAUGCUUCUAAAAAUGCACAUCCUUUUCGAAACUAUGUAUAUUUAUUAUCAAAGGUUAUAAGGCAGAAUGUGUUUGCCCAUGACUAAAACAAGUAAUACAUUGUACUUUUUUCAAAGCACACGUGGAAUUAGCGGGCUCCUUUAGGUAUUUCAAGGGAAAAACAGAAUUUGUUUAACUAAUUUUCUAUAUUGCUUAUUUAUGCAUUUGUGACCGUAGCUUUCCACUUUAGCUCAUAAACUGGAUGGCAAAAUAGAGUUUGCCCAUUUCAUAUCUAUGUUGUCUUAUUAGGAAAAUACAUUUUGUUUUAUAGCUGAUGCUUAAUAUGUUUUAUCGACCGGUGAAUGCCCAACUUUAGCUCAUAGACUGGAUGGCAAAUGCUAAUCUGAUGGGGCUUUUGCCACUUUUUGUUUUAUGAUUGUCUAGACAGCUGAUGGCAUGCUUCUUUCUUGCGAAUUGUCAAUUCUUUUGUACAGGGUCCCUCAGCUACUUAUGUUGCUAGACAAUGAGAGUAUAUAGAUAGCAUGUAUGGUUUCUACAUUGUUUUGCGCAUGUUGAGAUGCAUCACAUGAUGUUUUCCUUUUACAUUUAUGAGUAUUACAGAGUCCUUUCUUUUUCCACAAGGGGUAGUAGCCGUGCCAUUUGAUUCGAAGGACAAAGAGUUGAUCACAAGGGGUAGCAUUCAGGAUAUAUACACAAGAGUAUAGAAACAAGUUAUAUGAUGCAAUUGACCACUAUUUCUAUUAACUUCUCCUGUACACAAUGUUCACGAGUUAAUAUAUUAAGUACAUUUUAUUGUGUCACUUGUGUUUACUCUUUUUUUAAUGCAAGUUUACAGCUACUUGGAGUUCCUAAUUGUAGACUCAACUAUCUUGACCUACCAAUGUACUCAAAUAUAUGGUUAUUGAAAAAAUGCAAAUAUUUUCAACACGAACAUGGUUUUAAACGGGUCUUUGCGCCAUUUGGCGCAACUGGUCAUCUAGUGCACUUAAAAGACUGUAAAAGCUGAGUGUCAGCAUCAAUGUAGAUGUCCGGGAGUGAUUUAGUAGGAUGUCGAACCUAAACUACAGAAAACAUGCAUCUGAUGGAGAAGUGUUGUUCUGAAAAAUGGGUUCAUAGCUUCAUAUGUUAAACUGAAAGCAUGCAUAUUUGAAUCUGAAAAAUGGGUUCAUAAAUUCAUAUAAAAAACUGGAGGUUUUUUAAUUCAGAAUCUGAAGUUUGUCCCGCAUUGCAUCAUCAAGUAAAAGACUGUAGUUUGUAUUCCUCAUGUGUGCUGCACUUGCAGGGUCAGAGUUGGUAGCCAUCCCCUGGACAGGGCGCCAUGUCUAGGGCGUGUUGGCGUGCUUGAGCAGACGAUACGCGUAUGUUUGUUGCGAGGUGGAGAAGGAAUACGCCAUGGAUGGAUUUUGAUUGCUUUGAUGACAACAGUUUCAACUUAGUAAGCCAUAUGCUGAUAUUCAUGUGACUGUGAUCUCGGAAAUAAAAGUUCAAAGGAAAGGAACAGAAACCUUCACUAAACAUAGAGUUGUAUUGUACCUGUACUGAGAAAGGUUUGUAGAGUAUGAAAAUAUGUUUCGAGAUGAAACAAAUUAUGAUUAUUAGUCAUGGCAGUUGUAGGAACAGAUAGAGUCAACUAGGUGUUGUAAUGCUGGACUAAGGAUGGACCAUACUCAGAGAAAUCAAAAUAUCUGCGGCCCUCCAUGGAAUAAUAUAUUCGACA